AUUGAACGCUGGCGGCAUGCCUUACACAUGCAAGUCGAACGGUAACGCGGGGCAACCUGGCGACGAGUGGCGAACGGGUGAGUAAUGCAUCGGAACGUGCCCAGUUGUGGGGGAUAACUGCUCGAAAGAGCAGCUAAUACCGCAUACGACCUGAGGGUGAAAGCGGGGGAUCGCAAGACCUCGCGCAAUUGGAGCGGCCGAUGUCGGAUUAGCUAGUUGGUGGGGAAAAGGCCCACCAAGGCGACGAUCCGUAACUGGUCUGAGAGGACGACCAGCCACAAUGGGACUGAGACAAGGCCGAGACUCCUACGGGAGGCAGCAGUGGGGAAUGUUGGACAAUGGACGCAAGGCUGAUCCAGCCAUGCCGCGUGCGGGAAGAAGGCCUUCGGGUUGUAAACCGCUUUUGUCAGGGAAGAAAUCUUCUGGGUUAAUACCUCGGGAGGAUGACGGUACCUGAAGAAUAAGCACCGGCUAACUACGUGCCAGCCGCCGCCGUAAAAC
rnacentral:rRNA from 1 species